rnacentral:rRNA from 1 species
CAGCUGCCACGGUAAAACGUAGGGUGCAAGCGUUAAUCGGAAUUACUGGGCGUAAAGCGUGCGCAGGCGGUUUGUUAAGACAGAUGUGAAAUCCCCGGGCUCAACCUGGGAACUGCAUUUGUGACUGGCAAGCUAGAGUGUGUCAGAGGAUGGUGGAAUUCCCGGUGUAGCGGUGAAAUGCGUAGAGAUCGGGAGGAACAUCAGUGGCGAAGGCGGCCAUCUGGGACAACACUGACGCUGAGGCACGAAAGCGUGGGGAGCAAACAGGAUUAGAUACCCCCGUAGUCCCUGUCUCUUAUAC